GCGUCUGUAGCUCAGUGGAUAGAGCUUGUUGUUUCUAAGUAGAAGGUUGUGGGUUCGACCCCUAUCUGACACC
rnacentral:tRNA from 1 species